rnacentral:rRNA from 1 species
UACGGAGGGUGCAAGCGUUAUCCGGAUUCACUGGGUUUAAAGGGUGCGUAGGCGGGUUGGUAAGUCAGUGGUGAAAUCCCCGAGCUUAACUUGGGAACUGCCAUUGAUACUAUCAGUCUUGAAUACCGUGGAGGUCAGCGGAAUAUGUCAUGUAGCGGUGAAAUGCUUAGAUAUGACAUAGAACACCAAUUGCGAAGGCAGCUGGCUACACGAAUAUUGACACUGAGGCACGAAAGCGUGGGGAUCAAACAGG